AACAUAUAUGUAUCCAGGUGAUCUAUCAUAUAGUCGACCACUGCUUUAUUGACUCUGGAAUUUUUGCAGGUAUCCCUUCAGAAGAGCAAGGAGUCUCUUUCUAGGGUAUGACAUUGCAGUUCUGCAAGUACACAGGUAACACUCCUGUCAGGACACGAUGGUGAGCUACCAGUGGUAGAUAACAGGGGACGUUGCUGGCAUCUAGGUUCCUGUCCAGACAUCACUCUGAACCUAGCGUUGGUGUCAGUGGGCGACACUGUUGGGGGGCAGCUGUGUGACGAUCUCAGCCUCACCCACAGCACAGGC